rnacentral:piRNA from 1 species
UGGGUGAGGAUACUGUGGCAGAUCAGGU